UACGUAGGGGGCUAGCGUUGUCCGGAUUUAUUGGGCGUAAAGAGCGUGUAGGCGGCCAGGUAGGUCCGCUGUGAAAACUCGAGGCUCAACCUCGAGAUGUCGGCGGAAACCAUCUGGCUAGAGUCCGGAAGAGGAGAGUGGAAUUCCUGGUGUAGCGGUGAAAUGCGCAGAUAUCAGGAAGAACACCCGUGGCGAAGGCGGCUCUCUGGGACGGUACUGACGCUGAGACGCGAAAGCGUGGGGAGCGAACAGG
rnacentral:rRNA from 1 species